ensembl:lincRNA
AUGUCAUCGCUGGUGAAGGAAGACUUGGAGAAAAAACUGUUUAAGCCGCUGGCGCAGAAUCUCUGCGAGUUUAUUGAGAUCGAGGUCUCUGUCCAGGACAGGUAUUUCCUCUGUGUGUCAGUGACCAAAACUGAUGAAGUAAAAAUCACCAUGGUGAAGCACUACAGAGUAGGGCUGGAUGAGAAGUAUGAAGUAACAAAAAGGUGGUCCUUGAGUGAUCUGCGGAUGAUUGACGGAAAAGAAGCAGAUACCGACAAUCCAUUUUUUGAUCUGCACUUCAAGAAAGUCUACAGCUUGGAGGCCUACAGCUGUGCCUCUAAGUACUCCUUUGCUCGAACGGUGAGCAGGCUGAACCACGUGUAUCUUAAGAAGGACUUACACAUGGUCAACUUUGAUUCUACUUACAUUAACGAUGACUCCAUUUGGUCCUCCAACAACAAGGACUGCCUGGUCCUCAUGAGAAUAUGCUUUUACGCUUUCAAUCUUGUGUGCUUGUCCUUGUGUCCCCUGCCACUUUGA